GAUGAACGCUAGCUACAGGCUUAACACAUGCAAGUCGAGGGGCAUCAGGAAGAAAGCUUGCUUUCUUUGCUGGCGACCGGCGCACGGGUGAGUAACACGUAUCCAACCUGCCCUUUACUCGGGGAUAGCCUUUCGAAAGAAAGAUUAAUACCCGAUAGCAUAAUGAUUCCGCAUGGUUUCAUUAUUAAAGGAUUCCGGUAAAGGAUGGGGAUGCGUUCCAUUAGGUUGUUGGUGAGGUAACGGCCCACCAAGCCUUCGAUGGAUAGGGGUUCUGAGAGGAAGGUCCCCCACAUUGGAACUGAGACACGGUCCAAACUCCUACGGGAGGCAGCAGUGAGGAAUAUUGGUCAAUGGGCGUUAGCCUGAACCAGCCAAGUAGCGUGAAGGAUGAAGGCUCUAUGGGUCGUAAACUUCUUUUAUAUAAGAAUAAAGUGCAGUAUGUAUACUGUUUUGUAUGUAUUAUAUGAAUAAGGAUCGGCUAACUCCGUGCCAGCAGCCGCGGU
rnacentral:rRNA from 1 species